GUACUGAGACACGGACCAAACUCCUACGGGAGGCAGCAGUGAGGAAUAUUGGUCAAUGGCCGAGAGGCUGAACCAGCCAAGUCGCGUGAAGGAAGAAGGAUCUAUGGUUUGUAAACUUCUUUUAUAGGGGAAUAAAGUGGAGGACGUGUCCUUUUUUGUAUGUACCCUAUGAAUAAGCAUCGGCUAACUCCGUGCCAGCAGCCGCGGUAAUACGGAGGAUGCGAGCGUUAUCCGGAUUUAUUGGGUUUAAAGGGUGCGUAGGUGGUGAUUUAAGUCAGCGGUGAAAGUUUGUGGCUCAACCAUAAAAUUGCCGUUGAAACUGGGUUACUUGAGUGUGUUUGAGGUAGGCGGAAUGCGUGGUGUAGCGGUGAAAUGCAUAGAUAUCACGCAGAACUCCGAUUGCGAAGGCAGCUUACU
rnacentral:rRNA from 1 species